AUUGAACGCUGGCGGCAUGCCUUACACAUGCAAGUCGAACGGUAACGGGCCUUCGGGUGCCGACGAGUGGCGAACGGGUGAGUAAUACAUCGGAACGUGCCCGAUCGUGGGGGAUAACGAGGCGAAAGCUUUGCUAAUACCGCAUACGAUCUACGGAUGAAAGCAGGGGACCGCAAGGCCUUGCGCGGACGGAGCGGCCGAUGGCAGAUUAGGUAGUUGGUGUGAUAAAAGCUUACCAAGCCGACGAUCUGUAGCUGUUCUGAGAGGAUGAUCAGCCACACUGGGACUGAGACACGGCCCAGACUCCUACGGGAGGCAGCAGUGGGGAAUGUUGGACAAUGGGCGCAAGCCUGAUCCAGCCAUGCCGCGUGCAGGAUGAAGGCCUUCGGGUUGUAAACUGCUUUUGUACGGAACGAAAAGCCUUCUUUUAAUACAGGAGGGUCAUGACGGUACCGGAAGAAUAAGCACCGGCUAACUACGUG
rnacentral:rRNA from 1 species